rnacentral:lncRNA from 1 species
UUAAGAUAUAAUUUCAACAAAUGUAAUUAGUGGUUAAUUGGCAGUUAUAAUCUUGUAACUAAAAGACUCAUUGUAUAAAUUCAGAUCAUAAUGAAUAAUAAAUAAAGGAUUGUUCCAACAACUUAUAUGGUAUUAGAGUCAAGAGAUCUUUCUCUUGCAAGAUCUUGAAUUUUUUAUUCCAUGUUUCUUUAGUUGAUCUAAGACUCCGUGGUUUGGUGACAACCCUGACAUCCGGUGGUGGAGUUACGCCUAGAAAAGUUAUACAAAUUAAAGAUUCGACCACCAUUUUCCUUGAUAAAGCCAACUACUUCUCAUGUAGAGCACAUGUUGAUGCGACAUCGGAGGGCUUCGAGCUUUUGGAUUUCAUCACAAGGGAGAUAAAUGUCGAGGAAUCUAAAAUUUCAAAGAGACAAGAUCGCGUAAUUCUUGUGUGACUAUUCUCAUCUAUUUUCGCAAACAUAUUCUUCCAAGAGUCGUCGUUUGCAAAACGUCCAAGUAGAUAUGGAAAACUAUUGAAAGUCACUUUGUAUCAUCCUCUAAGGCAAUGAUUAUGUGGCUGCGUCGAGAGUUAACCACAAUCAAGAAAUGGACGUCAUCGAUUACCUCCUACCUGAGCCACAUUUCGGUGCUUGCGGGACAUGCAUGCAAGAUUGCGAAGUCAGGCAAGCCAAUGGAAGACAAUGAUCUUGAGGUUUGUCUCCAAGCUACUUUCACUCAGGCCUUCUUAUCAAUCAAACAAGAUUCACAAGAAUCGAACUUAGAAUUACAAACUGAAAUCUUUUUCUCCUAAUUAACGAAGAGAGUGUUUCUUUAUGAAGAUGACCAAGAUGAGCAUGCCAAAUCCAAGCCAACUUUCUAUCACAAAGCAUGGUAUGAGGUUUAGAAGAGAAACUUCGAUUAAGAAUCACAACCGAAUCUGAAUUUUGAACCUCGUAUAGUCCAGCACGUUGCAUUCCUUCAACCACAACCUUCCGCGAGUCGACGACGGCGGCAAAGAUGCGUUGAGAUUCCGUUGGCUUGCUUGACUGUUUCUCCUGUGAAGGGUAAAAUGGGAUCACCUAAACACGUUCAGAAAAUUGAGAAGUUGAAAAGUGCAAGUAUCACCUGCUUGCCGAUUAUGCGAUCUGGAAGAAGAAUCUAGAAGUCAUCUCUUCUUUAACUGUUUUUAUUUUAGGUCUUUUUUAAUUCUGUUGGUUGAACAUCUGAAUUUCUUCUUCUAAAGAAUAAUGAAUAUUCAUGUUCCCACCCAAUCUAAUCCAUAUAUUAGAUUAGGGGAUCUUACGGAGGUUGUGCAAAAAUUCACACACCACUCUCCCCCUUGGGGACUACUAUAGAAUGCUAUUGAGUAUUUGUCGUGACAUAUAUAGACAGAAAGAAAUAAAAGAUAUAGACUUCCUGAAAUAACUUUUAAGGAGGUCAUUAAAGAUAUCAGUCUCUUCUUUGAUCUGAAGUGUUACAAAAAGAGUUGUUGUCACUCUUUGAAGAUUUCUACAAUGAAAGUAUGAGAUAACAAACUCAUGAGACAGUGUAGCUAGUUACUUUAUAACUAGACUACUACAUAGCUAAUAGGAGAAAGUUAAUGGGCUUUUUGCUCAUUUCUUUCUACUUCUAUUUGUAUUUCUAUUCUCUAUUUUGUAAUAUGGACA